CAUGCCCCCCAUACAGGGGGGCACGCGUAUACGGGAGCUUACCGCGUUUAAGUGAGAAAGUUGUUGCAAAACUUCAAAGAUGGCGUCGUUUGUUGGAUUUUCUUAAAGGAAGGGAGGAUAUUUUCACCCGAUGAUGCAGGUUAAAGGGCGAAAAUAAGUGCAUCUUUUGUUGCAGUAUAUGUAAUGAGGAAUUUUACAUCAGGGGAGGAUUGAGAUAUCAUGCCCCAUUCAUGGACCACAUGAGUCUAAAUGUAGAAUAUGCAAGAAAGAAUCCUUCAACAGAGCCGGACUAAAACAGCAAAUAAAAAACACGAACAUAACAAAACAUGUACAGCUGAUGUUUGUAGUGUUUUUGUUUUAUUUAUAAAGUCUACAAAGACACGUCUGACAUAUAAUUGCUAUAAGUGCUACUUACUUACACGUUUUAUUCUGUAUAUGUCAUGAUGCUAGUUUCUCACUUUGUUAUGAAAAUAAACCAUUAUCUGUG